CGUGCUCAUUUUCUUCCUCGUCGUCACCUCUUCCUCGCAAUCCAAAUCGCAGCCUCCUCGCCAUGGCUUGUGAAAGAAAUCGUAGCACCAUAUUCUUAGGGUUCGCAUCGCCUUAAAGUCUAUCUAGACAGACAGACAGACAGACAGACAGACAGACAGGUCACGGUUGGAGGUUUUGUCAACAGGCUACAGCUUCGAAUGUGAUUUGAGCUUCAGAGUCGCGCGUGCGUGUGCCAAUUCUUUUAUUUAUUUUACUUUUUUGCUUUUUGAUCGCUUUUUGAAAUGUUUCAUGACAUGACUCGUUGUUAAGGUAGCUUUCGUGCCAGGUAAUUCUGUUUGAUGAAUUGAAGUAGAGGAGAAAGUUUGUUGCCGCGAAGUGGUGCAAGCAAUUGGAGAUCUUCUCUGGUUUGCCGGAAGAUAAGACGAAGAAGAGAUAAACGAGAGAUAAUCAUGAGAUGAAACGAAGUCCUGAAUGCAUUUUUAUUUUUAUUUUUAAAUUUCUUGUUGGUGAUAGCUAAUUAGAAUGGAUUUGGACCGUAAAGAGCACCAGAAGCGAAAAGCUCGUCUUUCAGAAAGUAAUGUUGUGGAGCUUCACCUCCUGGUUACGGGUCUGCUUCACGCAGUCUUCGGAAAAGAGCACACUGCUCAGGACGCAUUUUGUGAUAUUGAAUUAGAAGUUCAGCGACUUGGAUGAGCUGCACUACUAGAGCUGUUUGACACUCUUAGCGUGGAGCUCAUUUAUUGUGAAAGACUAGCACAAAUGAUUGUUCAAGAUGAUCUAUAACUAUCCUUCGUACAGGAAGAGAUCCCUUCUUGUCCAUCUUGCUAUUGCAGAAGAAUCGAUGAAUCAGAGGAAGUUCCUGGCCAGAUUCUGAUCUAUGUACAGCUGGAGGAGGACCGGCUCUAUGCUAUAGCACAUGUUGGACGUAGGCGAACUACUGUUAGAGGAGCCGCUCGAGCUUUGAUGGUUCCUACUGCUUCUACCCUUUGAGAUCUUCUUCAGCAGCAUAUGUGCGUUGGUAUUGAAGGGUUUAUGAAUGACGUGAUUAAAAGCGGAGGUCUGUUUCAGUCAGUCCUUCGUCAACUGAUAGCAGGUCACUUGUAACUUCUCGAUAACUAGUUUCGCGACCUCGCAGAAACCGCUUUUAGGAUGCUGUUUAAGGCUGAAUGUUUAGUUGUGUUUCAAGUCAAUCUAUUUCAAUCUUUUGUUAUUGACCUGCAGGAAAUGUACGAGUCUCUGACUACGAAUCGGAAUAGAUAAGUACUCCACGUUGAUUGAAUUAAAUCGCCUCCAUGUUUUGAAAUCACUUAAUAUUUGAUUUCAUUUCGGUGCGAUACAUCAACAAUGAGUUGGCAUAUUUAUGCAGAAUGUAGAUACUUUUGAAAGGGCAUUUGAAGCGAAUAUGAUUGAGAGGCAUUAUCUUGUUCAA